rnacentral:piRNA from 1 species
UGAGAGAAUGGAUAAUCCAAGAAAGCAGG